CUACGUGCCAGCAGCCGCGGUAAUACGUAGGUGGCGAGCGUUGUCCGGAAUCAUUGGGCGUAAAGGGAGCGCAGGCGGGCCGGUAAGUCUGUCUUAAAAGUGCGGGGCUUAACCCCGUGAUGGGAUGGAAACUGGGAAGCUCAGAGUAUCGGAGAGGAAAGCGGAAUUCCUAGUGUAGCGGUGAAAUGCGUAGAUAUUAGGAGGAACACCAGUGGCGAAAGCGGCUUUCUGGACGAAAACUGACGCUGAGGCGCGAAAGCCAGGGGAGCGAACGGGAUUAGAUACCCCGGUAGUCCUGGCCGUAAACGAUGGGUACUAGGUGUAGGAGGUAUCGACCCCUUCUGUGCCGGAGUUAACGCAAUAAGUACCCCGCCUGGGGAGUACGACCGCAAGGUUGAAACUCAAAGGAAUUGACGGGGGCCCGCACAAGCGGUGGAGUAUGUGGUUUAAUUCGACGCAACGCGAAGAACCUUACCAGGUCUUGACAU
rnacentral:rRNA from 1 species